rnacentral:rRNA from 1 species
CAGUUCGGACUGCAGGCUGCAACUCGCCUGCACGAAGUUGGAAUUGCUAGUAAUCGUGGAUCAGCAUGCCACGGUGAAUACGUUCCCGGGUCUUGUACACACCGCCCGUCACACCAUGGGAGCCGGUAAUACCCGAAGUCAGUAGUCUAACCGCAAGGAGGACGCUGCCGAAGGUAGGAUUGGCGACUGGGGUGAAGUCGUAACAAGGUAAC